CACACUAUCAUUAACUGAAUCCAUAGGUUAAUGAGGCGAACCGGGGGAACUGAAACAUCUAAGUACCCCGAGGAAAAGAAAUCAACCGAGAUUCCCCCAGUAGCGGCGAGCGAACGGGGAGCAGCCCAGAGCCUGAAUCAGUGUGUGUGUUAGUGGAAGCGUCUGGAAAGGCGCGCGAUACAGGGUGACAGCCCCGUACACAAAAAUGCACAUGCUGUGAGCUCGAUGAGUAGGGCGGGACACGUGGUAUCCUGUCUGAAUAUGGGGGGACCAUCCUCCAAGGCUAAAUACUCCUGACUGACCGAUAGUGAACCAGUACCGUGAGGGAAAGGCGAAAAGAACCCCGGCGAGGGGAGUGAAAAAGAACCUGAAACCGUGUACGUACAAGCAGUGGGAGCACGCUUAGGCGUGUGACUGCGUACCUUUUGUAUAAUGGGUCAGCGACUUAUAUUCUGUAGCAAGGUUAACCGAAUAGGGGAGCCGAAGGGAAACCGAGUCUUAACUGGGCGUUAAGUUGCAGGGUAUAGACCCGAAACCCGGUGAUCUAGCCAUGGGCAGGUUGAAGGUUGGGUAACACUAACUGGAGGACCGAACCGACUAAUGUUGAAAAAUUAGCGGAUGACUUGUGGCUGGGGGUGAAAGGCCAAUCAAACCGGGAGAUAGCUGGUUCUCCCCGAAAGCUAUUUAGGUAGCGCCUCGUGAAUUCAUCUCCGGGGGUAGAGCACUGUUUCGGCAAGGGGGUCAUCCCGACUUACCAACCCGAUGCAAACUGCGAAUACCGGAGAAUGUUAUCACGGGAGACACACGGCGGGUGCUAACGUCCGUCGUGAAGAGGGAAACAACCCAGACCGCCAGCUAAGGUCCCAAAGUCAUGGUUAAGUGGGAAACGAUGUGGGAAGGCCCAGACAGCCAGGAUGUUGGCUUAGAAGCAGCCAUCAUUUAAAGAAAGCGUAAUAGCUCACUGGUCGAGUCGGCCUGCGCGGAAGAUGUAACGGGGCUAAACCAUGCACCGAAGCUGCGGCAGCGACGCUUAUGCGUUGUUGGGUAGGGGAGCGUUCUGUAAGCCUGCGAAGGUGUGCUGUGAGGCAUGCUGGAGGUAUCAGAAGUGCGAAUGCUGACAUAAGUAACGAUAAAGCGGGUGAAAAGCCCGCUCGCCGGAAGACCAAGGGUUCCUGUCCAACGUUAAUCGGGGCAGGGUGAGUCGACCCCUAAGGCGAGGCCGAAAGGCGUAGUCGAUGGGAAACAGGUUAAUAUUCCUGUACUUGGUGUUACUGCGAAGGGGGGACGGAGAAGGCUAUGUUGGCCGGGCGACGGUUGUCCCGGUUUAAGCGUGUAGGCUGGUUUUCCAGGCAAAUCCGGAAAAUCAAGGCUGAGGCGUGAUGACGAGGCACUACGGUGCUGAAGCAACAAAUGCCCUGCUUCCAGGAAAAGCCUCUAAGCAUCAGGUAACAUCAAAUCGUACCCCAAACCGACACAGGUGGUCAGGUAGAGAAUACCAAGGCGCUUGAGAGAACUCGGGUGAAGGAACUAGGCAAAAUGGUGCCGUAACUUCGGGAGAAGGCACGCUGAUAUGUAGGUGAAGUCCCUCGCGGAUGGAGCUGAAAUCAGUCGAAGAUACCAGCUGGCUGCAACUGUUUAUUAAAAACACAGCACUGUGCAAACACGAAAGUGGACGUAUACGGUGUGACGCCUGCCCGGUGCCGGAAGGUUAAUUGAUGGGGUUAGCGCAAGCGAAGCUCUUGAUCGAAGCCCCGGUAAACGGCGGCCGUAACUAUAACGGUCCUAAGGUAGCGAAAUUCCUUGUCGGGUAAGUUCCGACCUGCACGAAUGGCGUAAUGAUGGCCAGGCUGUCUCCACCCGAGACUCAGUGAAAUUGAACUCGCUGUGAAGAUGCAGUGUACCCGCGGCAAGACGGAAAGACCCCGUGAACCUUUACUAUAGCUUGACACUGAACAUUGAGCCUUGAUGUGUAGGAUAGGUGGGAGGCUUUGAAGUGUGGACGCCAGUCUGCAUGGAGCCGACCUUGAAAUACCACCCUUUAAUGUUUGAUGUUCUAACGUUGACCCGUAAUCCGGGUUGCGGACAGUGUCUGGUGGGUAGUUUGACUGGGGCGGUCUCCUCCUAAAGAGUAACGGAGGAGCACGAAGGUUGGCUAAUCCUGGUCGGACAUCAGGAGGUUAGUGCAAUGGCAUAAGCCAGCUUGACUGCGAGCGUGACGGCGCGAGCAGGUGCGAAAGCAGGUCAUAGUGAUCCGGUGGUUCUGAAUGGAAGGGCCAUCGCUCAACGGAUAAAAGGUACUCCGGGGAUAACAGGCUGAUACCGCCCAAGAGUUCAUAUCGACGGCGGUGUUUGGCACCUCGAUGUCGGCUCAUCACAUCCUGGGGCUGAAGUAGGUCCCAAGGGUAUGGCUGUUCGCCAUUUAAAGUGGUACGCGAGCUGGGUUUAGAACGUCGUGAGACAGUUCGGUCCCUAUCUGCCGUGGGCGCUGGAGAAUUGAGGGGGGCUGCUCCUAGUACGAGAGGACCGGAGUGGACGCAUCACUGGUGUUCGGGUUGUCAUGCCAAUGGCACUGCCCGGUAGCUAAAUGCGGAAGAGAUAAGUGCUGAAAGCAUCUAAGCACGAAACUUGCCCCGAGAUGAGUUCUCCCUGACUCCUUGAGAGUCCUGAAGGAACGUUGAAGACGACGACGUUGAUAGGCCGGGUGUGUAAGCGCAGCGAUGCGUUGAGCUAACCGGUACUAAUGAACCGUGAGGCUUAACCUUACAACGCCGAAG
rnacentral:rRNA from 1 species